AGAGUUUGAUCCUGGCUCAGGAUGAACGCUGGCGGCGUGCCUAACACAUGCAAGUCGAGCGAUUCUCUUCGGAGAAGAGCGGCGGACGGGUGAGUAACGCGUGGGUAACCUGCCCUGUACACACGGAUAACAUACCGAAAGGUAUGCUAAUACGAGAUAAUAUGCUUUUAUCGCAUGGUAGAAGUAUCAAAGCUUUUGCGGUACAGGAUGGACCCGCGUCUGAUUAGCUAGUUGGUAAGGUAACAGCUUACCAAGGCGACGAUCAGUAGCCGACCUGAGAGGGUGAUCGGCCACAUUGGAACUGAGACACGGUCCAAACUCCUACGGGAGGCAGCAGUGGGGAAUAUUGCACAAUGGGCGAAAGCCUGAUGCAGCAACGCCGUGUGAGCGAUGAAGGCCUUCGGGUCGUAAAGCUCUGUCCUCAAGGAAGAUAAUGACGGUACUUGAGGAGGAAGCCCCGGCUAACUACGUGCCAGCAGCCGCGGUAAUACGUAGGGGGCUAGCGUUAUCCGGAAUUACUGGGCGUAAAGGGUGCGUAGGUGGUUUCUUAAGUCAGAGGUGAAAGGCUACGGCUCAACCGUAGUAAGCCUUUGAAACUGGGAAACUUGAGUGCAGGAGAGGAGAGUGGAAUUCCUAGUGUAGCGGUGAAAUGCGUAGAUAUUAGGAGGAACACCAGUUGCGAAGGCGGCUCUCUGGACUGUAACUGACACUGAGGCACGAAAGCGUGGGGAGCAAACAGGAUUAGAUACCCUGGUAGUCCACGCUGUAAACGAUGAGUACUAGCUGUCGGAGGUUACCCCCUUCGGUGGCGCAGCUAACGCAUUAAGUACUCCGCCUGGGAAGUACGCUCGCAAGAGUGAAACUCAAAGGAAUUGACG
rnacentral:rRNA from 1 species